GAGUGACUGUUGACACACUACUGCAGUGAAACACAAACUGCUGGGCAAGCCCAGGAAGAGAUAAAGUGCCAGAUGACUUUAUGACUCCCUCUCUUCCUCCCCCCUCUCUCCUCCCCUCCGAAAGAAACUGCUCCCCACGCCUGAAGUCCAGAUUUAGAAGGCAAACCACGG